rnacentral:rRNA from 1 species
AGAGUUUGAUCAUGGCUCAGGAUGAACGCUAGCGGCAGGCCUAAUACAUGCAAGUCGAACGCUCAGUAGCAAUACUGGGAGUGGCGCACGGGUGCGUAACGCGUACACAAUCUACCUCUAAGCGGGGGACACCUCCUGGAAACGGGGAUUAAUACCGCAUAAUAUGCCGAAGUCGCAUGACUUUGGUAUUAAAGCAGCAAUGCACUUAGAGAUGAGUGUGCGUCCCAUUAGGUAGUUGGUGAGGUAACGGCUCACCAAGCCUAUGAUGGGUAGCCGGUCUGAGAGGAUGGUCAGCCACACGGGCACUGAGACACGGGCCCGACUCCUACGGGAGGCAGCAGUAAGGAAUAUUGGUCAAUGGUGGAAACACUGAACCAGCCAUGCCGCGUGGAGGAAUAAGGUCCUACGGAUUGUAAACUCCUUUUGACGAGGAAGAAAAUGUUAGAUUUAUCUAAUUUUGACGGUACUCGUAGAAUAAGCACCGGCUAACUCCGUG